CUGGCUCAGAGUGAACGCUGGCGGUAGGCCUAACACAUGCAAGUCGAACGGCAGCACAGGAGAGCUUGCUCUCUGGGUGGCGAGUGGCGGACGGGUGAGGAAUACAUCGGAAUCUACUUUUUCGUGGGGGAUAACGUAGGGAAACUUACGCUAAUACCGCAUACGACCUACGGGUGAAAGCAGGGGACCUUCGGGCCUUGCGCGAUUGAAUGAGCCGAUGUCGGAUUAGCUAGUUGGCGGGGUAAAGGCCCACCAAGGCGACGAUCCGUAGCUGGUCUGAGAGGAUGAUCAGCCACACUGGAACUGAGACACGGUCCAGACUCCUACGGGAGGCAGCAGUGGGGAAUAUUGGACAAUGGGCGCAAGCCUGAUCCAGCCAUACCGCGUGGGUGAAGAAGGCCUUCGGGUUGUAAAGCCCUUUUGUUGGGAAAGAAAUCCAGCUGGCUAAUACCCGGUUGGGAUGACGGUACCCAAAGAAUAAGCACCGGCUAACUUCGUGCCAGCAGCCGCGGUAAUACGAAGGGUGCAAGCGUUACUCGGAAUUACUGGGCGUAAAGCGUGCGUAGGUGGUCGUUUAAGUCCGUUGUGAAAGCCCUGGGCUCAACCUGGGAACUGCAGUGGAUACUGGGCGACUAGAAUGUGGUAGAGGGUAGCGGAAUUCCUGGUGUAGCAGUGAAAUGCGUAGAGAUCAGGAGGAACAUCCAUGGCGAAGGCAGCUACCUGGACCAACAUGAC
rnacentral:rRNA from 1 species